UUCGUGGAACGGGCGCACGGUUGCGUACAGUUUGCAACCUUAACCUUAAUUGGGGAAAUAGCUCGAAAGAGGAUUACACCGAUAACAUCACGAGACGGCAUCGCCUUGUGAUCACCUCCGGGGGUUAAAGAUGGGCAUGCGUCCGAUUAGCUAGUUGCGCGGUACGGCACCAGCGACGAUCGGUAGGGGUCUGAGAGAUGAUCCCCACACUGGUACUGAGACACGGACCAGACUCCUACGGGAGGCAGCAGUAAGGAAUAUUGGACAAUGGUCGCAAGACUGAUCCAGCCAUGCCGCGUGCAGGAUGAACGAUCUAUGAUCUGUAAACUGCUUUUGUUCGGGAAUAAACCCCUUCACGUGUGGAGGGCUGAAUGUACCGAAAGAAUAAGGGUCGGCUAACUUCGUGCCAGCAGCCGCGGUAAGACGAAGGACCAAGCGUUAUCCGGAUUUAUUGGGUUUAAAGGGUGCGUAGGCGGGUUGUUAAGUCAGUGGUGAAAGCCUAGAACUUAACUCUAGAAUUGCCAUUGAUACUGACGAUCUUGAGGAUAGUUUGAGGUGGGCGGAAUGUAUCAUGUCAGCGGUGAAAUGCUUAAUAUGACA
rnacentral:rRNA from 1 species